UCCCAUGAGCCCUACGCUGGCCACACCGAUCUCCUCUUCGUCUGAGUCUUCGUUCACUUGGUCGAUCAUGGCAGUGGCGGCGGCGCCUCUCGAAGCUCUACAUAGAUCUCGCUUAUAGGUUCCUCUAUCGUGCCCUCUCUAGUCUUCGCGUCAUAUCUGGUUCCCUUCCUCUUCUGCUGCGUGAUUCGCUCCCGAAUCCCCUUCACAUGUGUCCUCCCUAUCUUCGCCCCUGUUGAAGACUUUCGGAAUCCAGUUCCAUGAUGCCAGCUCCUCCCUUCUCUGCGCAUUUCUAACUCACCAGGAGAUACUAAUUAUGCUUUUUAGGUGAUUCUUGUUGAAAUUUUGGUAUGACUGACUAUAUUGUGGAAGAAUGUGCUUCAUGAAGAUAGAGAUGCUAAAGCAUAAGCUAGGAGGAAGUUGCUAGCUUAUUCUGAAUACUGUAUCUAUACUUUUUGGAUGGAAGAUUUUAGUUUUGUUGUUGGGCAGCAAUUCGCUGAUGUCAAGACUUUUAGGAGGGCAAUAAAAGAAGCUGCUAUUUCACAACAUUUUGAACUUAAGAUUAUAAAGAGUGAUCUAAUUCGCUACUUCGCCAAAUGUGCCAAGGACAGUUGUCCUUGGCGAAUUCGUGCAGUAAAGCUUCCAAAUGCUCCAACCUUCACUGUAAGAAGCAUUGAAGGGACACAUACCUGUAAUAAAGAUGCACAACAAGGUCAUCAUCAAGCAUCUAUAGAUUGGAUUGUGAAUCUCAUCGAGGAGCGGCUGCGAAGCAAUGUGAAUUAUAGACCAAAAGAUAUAUUGCAAGAUAUUCAAAGGCAAUAUGGGAUAACUAUACCAUACAAGCAAGCAUGGAGAGCAAAAGAAAGAGGUCUGACUGCUAUAUAUGGUUCGUCUGAAGAGGGCUACAGUCUUCUCCCAGCAUAUUGCGAGCAGAUAAAGCUUAGAAACCCUGGAAGUGUUGCUCAAGUGUACACUAUAGGAGUAGACCAUCAGUUCCAUAAAAUUUUUGUUUCAUUCAGUGCUUUAAUUUAUGGCUUUUUGAAUGGUUGCUUACCUAUAAUUUGUCUUGGUAGUACUGAGCUGAGAAGCAAGUAUCUCGGCACAUUACUUUCUGUUACUUCAUUUGAUCCCGAUGGUGGAGUAUUUCCAAUUGCUUUUGGUAUUGUGGAUGUCGAGACCGAGGAGAGUUGGAAUUGGUUCUUGUCUGAGUUCUAUAAGUCGCUAGAGAUAAGCUGUGAAAGCAGAUCUCAGCUUACAGUUUUAUCUAAUGGACAAACUGUUAUUCUUGAAGCUGUGAGAAGAAACUUUCCAACUGCAUGCCAGGGAAUAUGUAUGCGCUACUUUACUGAAAGUGUAAACAAGGAAUUCAAGAACUCGAGGCUUGUCCAUCUUCUUUGGAAGGCUGCUUAUUCUGUCAGCGCAUCUAGCUUUCAGGAUAGGAUGGCAGAAAUUGAGGAAAUCUGUGCAGAAGCAGCAAAAAGGAUUCAACAGAUUCCUCCUACUUACUGGGCAGUGGCUUCUUUUGAAGGAUCACGCUAUGGCCAUCUUUCUUCAAAUAUUGAAGAGUUCAAUAGGUGGAUACUUGAGACACGGGAACUUCCUAUUCUUCAAGUUAUAGAAAGUAUACAUGGCGCAAUGAUCAAGGAAUUUAAUGAACGCUGUGAAAAAGGUUUGAAGUGGGCUUCAAGACUUGUCCCUUCAGCUGAAAGGCGUAUAUCAGAUGCGAUUAAGCAUUCUGUUGGAUACCAAGCUCUGCGUUCCGAUGAGUUUGAAUUUGAGGUUCUCUCAGCCAAUUGCUCAAAUAUUGUUAACAUAGGCAUCCAUUGUUGUUCUUGUCAUGAGUGGCAGUUGUAUGGCAUACCAUGCUCUCAUGCUAUUGCAGCACUUCUCUCAUGUAACAAAGACAUUUAUGAAUAUACAGACAGAUAUUUCACAGUUGCCAGGUAUCGGGAGACAUAUUCUCAUCCAGUAUGUCCAAUUCCUGAUAGAAGUGAGUGGUAUAAAGCAUCUGAGAGCUCAGUGGAUAGCGAAACUCAAAUUGUUUGCCCACCAAAGGUUCGUCGUCCUCCAGGACGCCCUGAAAAGAAGCGGCUUAAUGUGGAGGAAACCAACCAUGAAAAGCAUACAGUGCAUUGUAGUCGUUGCAACCAAACAGGACACUAUAAGCGAACAUGCAAAGCUGAUAUUACCCACAAGACAUGAGGAUAUUGGCUUAUUGAUUCUCAAGCAACCUCCUUAGCCAAACAGCAUGUCGCGUAAGAUAUUUGAUUGAGGUUGCUUCAGAAUUUGAAUGUGAUUCAAGAAACAACAAAAAUAUAAGUCGAUAGCGAAUCUUCAAUUCAACAUUUCAUAACAAAUAAGGAUAUUGAUUUGUGCUUUCAUUGCAUUCAAGAGCAUAUCAAGAAGGUAAAAGGUUGAGUUAGUCUACAUCCAGACUCCAGACUGGAGAUCAAGUUGUUGUUUUCUUCACCAAGCUAAUCGGAUUUAAUCUCUUUGUCAAGAUCAAAAACUUUUUGAAUGAAGGAUGAAAGAUAAUUAAGUUUCUCAAGGUGUGUUAAAUAAACUCAAUCAUGAUGGCAAAAGGCGAAUACGCUCGUCCCAGCGCCCCUGCCAAUCCGUUCCAAUACCAACACGGAGGAGAUGAAUCGGCGGAUCCAAGGUGUGACUCAAGGUGGCUGCUUGACAUGAGCAAACUAUG